rnacentral:rRNA from 1 species
AGAGCGAACGCUGGCGGCAGGCCUAACACAUGCAAGUCGAGCGCGUGUAGCAAUACACGAGCGGCAGACGGGAGAGUAACACGUGGGAACGCGCCCUUCGGUUCGGAAUAACUCAGGGAAACUUGAGCUAAUACCGGAUACGCCCUUACGGGGAAAGAUUUAUUGCCGAAGGAACGGCCCGCGUCCGAUUAGCUAGUUGGUGAGGUAACGGCUCACCAAGGCGACGAUCGGUAGCUGGUCUGAGAGGAUGACCAGCCUCACUGGGACUGAGACACGGCCCAGACUCCUACGGGAGGCAGCAGUGGGGAAUAUUGGACAAUGGGCGCAAGCCUGAUCCAGCCAUGCCGCGUGGAUGAUGAAGGCCUUAGGGUUGUAAAGUCCUUUUAACGGGGAAGAUAAUGACGGUACCCGUAGAAUAAGCCCCGGCUAACUCGUGCCAGCAGCCGC